rnacentral:rRNA from 1 species
GAUGAACGCUAGCUACAGGCUUAACACAUGCAAGUCGAGGGGCAUCAGUUUGGUUUGCUUGCAAACCAAAGCUGGCGACCGGCGCACGGGUGAGUAACACGUAUCCAACCUGCCUCAUACUCGGGGAUAGCCUUUCGAAAGAAAGAUUAAUAUCCGAUAGCAUAUAUUUCCCGCAUGGGUUUUAUAUUAAAGAAAUUCGGUAUGAGAUGGGGAUGCGUUCCAUUAGUUUGUUGGGGGGUAACGGUCCCGACCCAACGACUACGACUGGAUAGGGGUUCGUGAGAGGAAGGU